CGGCGCACGGGUGCGUAACGCGUAUGCAAUCUACCUUUUACAGUGGGAUAGCCCAGAGAAAUUUGGAUUAAUACCACAUAGUAUAUCAUUUUCGCAUGAAGGAGAUAUUAAAGUCACAACGGUAAAAGAUGAGCAUGCGUCCCAUUAGUUAGUUGGUAAGGUAACGGCUUACCAAGACUACGAUGGGUAGGGGUCCUGAGAGGGAGAUCCCCCACACUGGUACUGAGACACGGACCAGACUCCUACGGGAGGCAGCAGUGAGGAAUAUUGGACAAUGGGCGCAAGCCUGAUCCAGCCAUGCCGCGUGCAGGAUGACGGUCCUAUGGAUUGUAAACUGCUUUUAUACGAGAAGAAACCCUCCGACGUGUCGGAGCUUGACGGUAUCGUAAGAAUAAGGAUCGGCUAACUCCGUGCCAGCAGCCGCGGUAAUACGGAGGAUCCAAGCGUUAUCCGGAAUCAUUGGGUUUAAAGGGUCCGUAGGCGGUUUAGUAAGUCAGUGGUGAAAGCCCAUCGCUCAACGGUGGAACGGCCAUUGAUAC
rnacentral:rRNA from 1 species